rnacentral:piRNA from 1 species
UGAGGAGUGAGACCGGGUACGCCCCGGGA